rnacentral:rRNA from 1 species
UACCAGCUCUCCGAGUGGUGUGGAUGUUUAUUGGGCCUAAAGCAUCCGUAGCUUGCUAAGCAAGUCCCCUGUUAAAUCCACCGAUUCAAUCGGUGGAUUGCGGGGGAUACUGUUUGGCUAGGGGACGGGAGAGGCCGACGGUAUUUCCGGGGUAGGGGUGAAAUCCUAUAAUCCCGGGAAGACCACCAGUGGCGAAGGCUGUCGGCUAGAACGCGCCCGACGGUGAGGGAUGAAAGCUGGGGGAGCGAACCGGAUUAGAUACCCGGGUAGUCCCAGCUGUAAACGAUGCAGGCUAGGUGUCUGGGCGGCCACGAGCCGCUCUAGUGCCGCAGGGAAGCCGUUAAGCCUGCCGCCUGGGGAGUACGGCCGCAAGGCUGAAACUUAAAGGAAUUGGCGGGGAGCACCACAAGGGGUGAAGCUUGCGGUUU